rnacentral:rRNA from 1 species
GACGUAGGGCGCGAGCGUUGUCCGGAUUUAUUGGGCGUAAAGAGCUCGUAGGCGGUUUGUCGCGUCGUCCGUGAAAACUCACAGCUUAACUGUGAGCUUGCGGUCGAUACGGGCAGGCUAGAGUACGGCAGGGGAGACUGGAAUUCCUGGUGUAGCGGUGAAAUGCGCAGAUAUCAGGAGGAACACCGGUGGCGAAGGCGGGUCUCUGGGCCGAAACUGACGCUGAGGAGCGAAAGCGUGGGGAGCGAACAGG